UCGGCAACGGAUAUCUCGGCUCUUACAUCGAUGAAGAACGUAGCAAAAUGCGAUAC
rnacentral:rRNA from 1 species